rnacentral:rRNA from 1 species
CAGGACGAACGCUGGCGGCGUGCCUAACACAUGCAAGUCGAGCGAGGAGAUUCCUUCGGGAUGAUCCUAGCGGCGGACGGGUGAGUAACACGUGGGCAACCUGCCUCAUAGAGAGGAAUAGCCUUCCGAAAGGGAGAUUAAUACCUCAUAACAUUGCAGUUUCGCAUGGAACAGCAAUUAAAGGAGUAAUCCGCUAUGAGAUGGGCCCGCGGCGCAUUAGCUAGUUGGUGAGGUAACGGCUCACCAAGGCGACGAUGCGUAGCCGACCUGAGAGGGUGAUCGGCCACAUUGGGACUGAGACACGGCCCAGACUCCUACGGGAGGCAGCAGUGGGGAAUAUUGCACAAUGGGGGAAACCCUGAUGCAAGCAACGCCGCGUGAGUGAUGACGGCCUUCGGGUUGUAAAGCUCUGUCUUCAGGGACGAUAAUGACGGUACCUGAGGAGGAAGCCACGGCUAACUACGUGCCAGCAGCCGC